GGAAACUUUAUUACUUGACGCGAUGUUUGAAAUUCCUGGUUCCGAUAUUGUAUCAGUCCAUGUCACAGAGGACGCUGUUAAUGGCAGAAGUCAACCUCUCUUCAUCCAUGAUGCAGCCCAAAGCGUUACCAGUGAUGGUCAAGUAGCUGUUGACGACGAAGAAUUGGGACAAGCCCAAGCUGGACGGGGUUAGAUGAUACUUUGUUUUCAAACAACAACUUUUCGUUUUCUUUCCAACGGGGCUACUUAUGGCGUAUAUAUAUCGGGAUUUCUAGACUACGUCGAUAUGUACAAUUUUUAAAAAAUGUACUAAGCCUCUCUUGUUGCCUCGUUUUAUUUCUAUCUUCUUUUUGUUUAUGGGACUCGAAGCCUUCAAUAAAGUCGAUAUAACUUCAUUUCAAUUAGGUUUAGACUUAGAUUAACUAAGACAAAUUGGGACAACUAACUGUGCUAAUUGUGAUGUGAAUAGCAAAAUAUUAUGAUUUAAAAACAAA